rnacentral:rRNA from 1 species
GACGAACGCUGGCGGCGUGCUUAACACAUGCAAGUCGAGCGGUAAGGUCCUUUCGGGGGUACACGAGCGGCGAACGGGUGAGUAACACGUGGGUGACCUGCCCUCAGCUCUGGGAUAAGCCUGGGAAACCGGGUCUAAUACUGGAUAUGACUCCAUGACGCAUGUUGUGGGGUGGAAAGCCUUGUGCGGCUGAGGAUGGGCCCGCGGCCUAUCAGCUUGUUGGUGGGGUGANGG